rnacentral:rRNA from 1 species
AUUGAACGCUGGCGGCAGGCCUAACACAUGCAAGUCGAACGAGUGGCGGACGGGUGAGUAAUGUCUGGGAAACUGCCCGCUGGAGGGGGAUACCUACUGGAAACGGUAGCUAAUACCGCCUACCAUCGGAUGUGCCCAGAUGGGAUUAGCUAGUAGGUGGGGUAACGGCUCACCUAGGCGACGAUCCCUAGCUGGUCUGAGAGGAUGACAAGCCACAGUGGAACGGAGACACGGGCCAGACUCCUACGGGAGGCAGCAGUGGGGAAUAUUGGAAAAUGGGCGCAAGCCUGAUGAAGCCAGGCCGCGUGUAUGAAGAAGGCCUUCGGGUUGUAAAGUACUUUCAGCGGGGAGGCGUUACCCGCAGAAGAAGCACCGGCUAACUCCGUGCCAGCAGCCGCGGUAAUUC